rnacentral:rRNA from 1 species
CCUACGGGUGGCAGCAGUGAGGAAUAUUGGUCAAUGGACGCAAGUCUGAACCAGCCAUGCCGCGUGCAGGAAGACGGCCCUAUGAGUUGUAAACUGCUUUUGUACGAGGGUAAAUUCAGAUACGUGUAUCGGGUUGAAAGUAUCGUACGAAUAAGGAUCGGCUAACUCCGUGCCAGCAGCCGCGGUAAUACGGAGGAUUCAAGCGUUAUCCGGAUUUAUUGGGUUUAAAGGGUGCGUAGGCGGUUCGAUAAGUUAGAGGUGAAAGCCCGUGGCUCAACUGCGGCACUGCCUCUGAUACUGGCAGGCUAGAGUAUAGUUGCGGUAGGCGGAAUGUGUGGUGUAGCGGUGAAAUGCAGAGAGAUCAUGCAGAACACCGAUUGCGAAGGCAGCUUACCAAACUACGACUGACAUUGAGGCACGAAAGCGUGGGGAGCAAACAGGAUUAGAUACCCCAGUAGUC